AAUUCGAAGCAACGCGAAGAACCUUACCAGGUCUUGACCAUCCCUGACAACCCGAGAGAUCGGGCGUUCCCCUUCGGGGGGACAGGGUGACAGGUGGUGCAUGGUUGUCGUCAGCUCGUGUCGUGAGAUGUUGGGUUAAGUCCCGCAACGAGCGCAACCCUCGACCUUAGUUGCCAGCAUUCAGUUGGGCACUCUAAGGUGACUGCCGGCUAAAAGUCGGAGGAAGGUGGGGAUGACGUCAAAUCAUCAUGCCCCUUAUGACCUGGGCUACACACGUGCUACAAUGGGCGGUACAAAGGGUCGCGAACCCGCGAGGUGGCGCCAAUCCAUAAAGUUGGUCUCAGUUCAGAUUGUAGGCUGCAACCCGCCUGCAUGAAGAUGGAGUUGCUAGUAACCGCAGGUCAGCUAUACUGCGGUGAAUACGUUCCCGGGGCUU
rnacentral:rRNA from 1 species